rnacentral:rRNA from 1 species
GACGAACGCUGGCGGCGUGCUUAACACAUGCAAGUCGAACGGAAAGGCCCUGCUUUUGUGGGGUGCUCGAGUGGCGAACGGGUGAGUAACACGUGAGUAACCUGCCCUUGACUUUGGGAUAACUUCAGGAAACUGGGGCUAAUACCGGAUAGGAGCUCCUGCUGCAUGGUGGGGGUUGGAAAGUUUCGGCGGUUGGGGAUGGACUCGCGGCUUAUCAGCUUGUUGGUGGGGUAGUGGCUUACCAAGGCUUUGACGGGUAGCCAGCCUGAGAGGGUGACCGGCCACAUUGGGACUGAGAUACGGCCCAGACUCCUACGGGAGGCAGCAGUGGGGAAUAUUGCACAAUGGGCGGAAGCCUGUUGCAGCAACGCCGCGUGCGGGAUGACGGCCUUCGGGUUGUAAACCGCUUUCGCCUGUGACGAAGCGUGAGUGACGGUAAUGGGUAAAGAAGCACCGGCUAACUACGUG